rnacentral:tRNA from 3 species
GGGCGAGUGGCGAAAUGGCAGACGCGCUACGUUCAGGUCGUAGUCCCCGAAAGGGGGUGGAGGUUCAAAUCCUCUCUCGCCCA